rnacentral:rRNA from 1 species
AUUGAACGCUGGCGGCAGGCUUAACACAUGCAAGUCGAGCGGAGAUGAGGUGCUUGCAGCUUAUCUUAGCGGCGGACGGGUGCGUAAUGCUUAGGAAUCUGCCUAUUAGUAGGGGACAACAGUCAGAAAGGAAUGCUAAUACCGCAUACGUCCUACGCGAGAAAGCAGGUGAUCUGCGGACAUGGCGCUAAUAGAUGAGCCUAAGUCGGAUUAGCUAGUUGGUGGGGUAAAGGCCUACAAAGGCGACGAUCUGUAGCGGGUCUGAGAGGAUAAUCCGCCACACUGGGACUGAGAAACGGCCCAGACUCCUACGGGAGGCAGCAGUGGGAAUAUUGGACAAUGGGGGGAACCCUGAUCCAGCCAUGCCGCGUGUGUGAAGAAGGCCUUAUGGUUGUAAAGCACUUUAAGCGAGGAGGAGGCUACUGAGACUAAUACUCUUGGAUAGUGGACGUUACUCGCAGAAUAAGCACCGGCUAACUCUGUGCCAGCCGCCGCGGUAAAAC